rnacentral:rRNA from 1 species
GGGGAUGUAGCUCAAUUGGUAGAGCGCUAAUCAAUGCGGAAUGGAGGCACGGGGUUCAGUUCCUCGCAUCUCCACUUAUCUUUUUAUUUUAGUUUUUCUGCCGACGGACUUUGUUCCUUUUCCUGUAAAAUAAAUUGACCGGGAAAAUAAAAAAGAGAAGUGCUACCUCUUGGGUUUUAACUGGGCUGCAAUGUGGACCCUAAUCCAGAUUGGAACAAACUGCCCAUAGCCCAUGUGAUCCAUGCAAGCUCCUUCCAACAUCGUCCUCUCCCUCGCUCCAACGCUGCCGCGUUUGUCCAGCCGCGUCUGUACGCCGUCCUGCGACGAACUUCCAGCGCCGCCUUCGCGCUCGCGCCUGGACACCGCGUGCCCUGUCCACUACUGGGCACCAUCGGAGCGCCUCACGCCUCAGCGGCUCGACGACUCUACUCAAAUUUAGCUCAUUUCCUUGGUAGCACCUACUUAUAUAGUUUUUCAGUACACUACUCAAGUUUCACUUAUCUACACUGCUUCUUGGUAGCAACUGCAGCUGUCUGUGUUUUUUUUAGGCGACUGAUAGGCGCCGGCGCGCCGGCCGAAAGUUUCGGCCGGUCGCGCCCCAGCCACCCGAUUGGCCCACCCCGAACCGUUGGAUGCUCGUUCAUCCAGGUCGUCUCCUUCCUUCUCAUCUCUGUUCGCGUUUCAGAUAUGAAGAAACACCGCAGGCCAUGGCGGCCGCCCCGUCAUCCCCACGUCGCGCAGCACAGCGCCCGGUCACCCUCCCCCGUUUGUCGCCGUCGACAGCCGCCGCCGUGCUCGCCACCGCCGCUCGCCGUCGACAGCCGCCGCCGUGCUCGCCACCGCCGCUCGCCGUCGACAGCCGCCGCCGUGCUCGCCACCGCCGCUCGCCGUCGACAGCCGCCCAUGUUUCAUUGAUAAAUGCAGCUCGCCUGCCAACCGGUUCCAGCGCGUGCCACCAUGGUUGCAACAUCCCUGAGCCACCACCACCGCCUCCGCUCAUCGCCGUCGUUCGGUUCGCACCACCGUGUCCUCAACAAAAAAGCAAAAACACAAAACUCCAUUAGUUUGUCAGUAGUAGAAAAAUCACAUGCUGGUUGCAGCAAAAAAAACAUCGAAUCCAACAAAAAGACCCAAAGUUGUGCCGGUCGCUGCAAAUUUCUCAUCCAUCCUCCAGCAAAAUUCUUGCGGGUUCCAGCAAUUUUUUUUGCCGGUUCCAGCAAAACACAUCUCAACGCCGUCCCAUUGCAUCACCGAUCGAUAGCGGAUGCAACUUUUUUUUCACCCGGUUCCAGAAAAAAAAAUGUAUGGUAGUAGCACCGUACCUCAUCGUCUUUACCCCGGCAGCUGCCUGGUUGCAGCAAAAAAAGAAGAUGGUUCCAGCAUCUCCGGGAUCUGGUUCCAGCAAAAAUACUCCCUGGUAGUAGCACCGUACCUCGUCGUCUUCACCACCGGUGGCUAAAAAUGGAUGAUGGUUCCAACUCCAGGGAACACUGCUUCCAGCAUAUCGUGUGGCCGGUUGCAGCUUUCCAGUCAGUGGGUUCCAGCACCUCGAGCGGUCGAAGCCAGCCAUGGCGUUCACUUCGCAGUUGCCGCAAGGUUGCUUGGAGUGGCCAGGGCGCGUCGACGGUGAGCUUUUUGGUGCCCCUCCUGGUCGUAUUUUGCUGCAGGGAAGAAGAAUGGGGAUGAGCAGUGGAGGAGAUUGAAGGCAGAGAAAGAAACACGGCGCGGCGAGGGGCA